UAUCUCUGGUUCCUUUGCAUUUGACCGAGAAAAUCUUUCGCCUGUUACUAAAGAUUUACGUGCAAAGGAGCAAUUAUGAGCAUUUCACAAUUUUUGGAAUCCCCUCGAAAGAGCGGGG
rnacentral:snRNA from 1 species